AGGAAAACGUGCAUGGAUUUCUUCGGUGUGGCAGUGUGUAAAUAUUUGCGCUCGCGUGUGUCUGUGGCAGCAUCUGUGUGUGUAUGUGAGACUGAAAGGAGGUGGGAGAUGAGGAGGGGAAGGGAAUCAGCUCCAGCAGCAACAGGCUCUAUUCUUCAGUUCUGCUAAAAGAAAGAGGAAGAGAGGAAGAAAAAAAUAGACACUCCUUUUUUUUCUCACGACACACCCUGAAGGAGAAGGCGCCUAGGCGCUGUCCGUAGUGCUGAAAUGGUGCGUGGUGAGACCUGUCUCCCCAACACAAGCUAGAAGACAACAAAAUAGCAGCCAGGAAACGCUCUGAUAAAGCUCUAGAUAGCUGCCAGGCCGAGCUCAAGGGAGCAGAACUAAGUUACAUGAUUCUGCUGCGGAUGUAUAAGCACCACUCCAAUAAUUUAUUAUCACGGUUGGAGACUUUGACUUGUCACUUUAUGACUUGAAAUAUGGCUCCAUGGUAAAUGCCCAUAAAGCUGAUUUUUAAAAUCUGGAUAUUACAGUUCUAAUUCUCACUUAGUUUAAAAGGUAGAAUAGGCUUCUUGUUUCAUAGAUCAUUUGUGUGAAUGUUGAUUUGUUAUGUCAUUGACAUCAUACACACAUGCUUACAUUUUGAAGGUUGCUAGCGUUUCCCAUUAAUGCUUCUGAAUUGAUGCCAAAGGAAAGCAUUGAUUAUAAAUUAGGUUCCUUGGUAUUAGUUGGUGCAUGACCCUGACCCUUUUCAAGCUAUAUGAAAGGUAAUGAUGCUCUCAAAAGCCUGCAAAAUGGCUUAUUCAGGAAAGCAUAAUGGAUUAAAAAUCCAUUAGGUUCCACUUUCUUUGCUAGAUGCUGAGAUACAAAGAUAAAUGAGAUUUGGUCUCUGCCCUCGAGGAGAUACGUGGCAAAAUAAUAUGGUAAGUUCUACAAAGUUCUAUACAAACACAGAUUAAUAUGCUAUUCAUGUUUUAUUAGCCAUUGCCAAAGAAGGGAUGAAGAACUGCAAAAAGAUAAAACACAGAAUACUUGUACUUCAGGUCCUUGCCAAUAUCUACUGCCCAACUUUUACAAAAAAAAUUGCUGAAAGGCAUGAAAUAUAUGAAUGCCUUUCUAAAGCACAUGUGGAUAAUCUAUACUUCUGGAGCAUCUAUGAUUUAUUUUCAGAACAAUCCAAGUUAUUAGAAAGGUAAAUAUGUUGGUGACAUUGUUUAGAAGUUCCUCAAGCAGAAUUGCCUUUACUAUGCUUUGACAUUAUGCUCUCAGCUUAUAUACAGUAAUUCUAUGUGAAACAGUAGCCAGCUUACACAACCUGCUCUAUAUCUACUACAGAGCUGUUACUAAAGUGUUGGUCAACAUAUAACUUACUAUUUCUUAUAUAAAGAUGCCCAAGAAAUUUAGAUUUCAUAGAUAUAUCCCCAAAAGCAUUUCUUUCAAUACCAGUUUAAUGAAUUGAACUUUCAUACCUCACUUAAAUCAACCCAGGGUAAAGUGGUAUGUUCUGUUCUUACACACAAUGAAAAUCAUGUAACUAAUUAAAGUUAGCAUUUAUUUUAGCUACUAGGGAUGCCAGAGUCAAAUUAACAGCUGAAAAUGAAUAACUACAUAAGACCUUAAGCCUUUUAUAUCUUUUCUUUUUUUUUAAUCACCUUAACUACUGCAAUUUUGGUUUCUUAGGUAAUGAUAAUAUUAUUUUCUUUUAAUUAUUUGUUUUAAUGUGUGACCUCAUGUAAAUGUCCUCAUAAAAUCAGAAGUGGAGUAAAUAAAUAAAUAAAGUAAAUUUCUCUAC
rnacentral:lncRNA from 1 species